rnacentral:rRNA from 1 species
AUACGUAGGGGGCGAGCGUUGUCCGGAAUGAUUGGGCGUAAAGGGCGCGUAGGCGGCCCGGUAAGUCUGGAGUGAAAGUCCUGUUUUUAAGAUGGGAAUUGCUUUGGAUACUGUCGGGCUUGAGUGCAGGAGAGGUAAGUGGAAUUCCCAGUGUAGCGGUGAAAUGCGUAGAGAUUGGGAGGAACACCAGUGGCGAAGGCGACUUACUGGACUGUAACUGACGCUGAGGCGCGAAAGUGUGGGGAGCAAACAGGAUUAGAUACCCUGGUAGUCCACACCGUAAACGGUGAAUGCUAGGUGUAGGGGGUAUCGACCCCUUCUGUGCCGCAGUCAACACAAUAAGCAUUCCGCCUGGGGAGUACGGCCGCAAGGUUGAAACUCAAAUGAAUUGACGGGG